rnacentral:rRNA from 1 species
UACGGAGGGUGCAAGCGUUGUCCGGAUUGACUGGGCGUAAAGCGCACGCAGGCGGCCGUGCACGUGGGGUGUGAAAGCGCUCGGCUUAACUGAGCGAUGCCACCUCAUACGGCAGGGCUCGAGCCCGUGAGAGGUCCACGGAAUUGCCGGUGUAGUGGUGAAAUGCGUAGAGAUCGGCAGGAACACCCAGGGGGAAACCAGUGGACUGGCACGGUGCUGACGCUCAGGUGCGAAAGCGUGGGGAGCGAACCGG